UUUUGCUUUGAGAACAUAGUCUGCAUGAAAUUAAUAAUUUAGAUUUUGUUGACACUGUUGCCAAUAUUUGCAUGGUAGAGAAUAAUUUAUAUUCUGAUUAUUGAAUACAGGAUUCUAUGUGAGGACAUGAUCAAGCCUAUUGAGGGUAGUAUCUUUCAAUCUGUGCAUUGGCUAUUUUGCAGCCUGAGCUAAGCAAAUUUGCACAUUCAGAUUGAUGCCUCAUGGAGCAAAAUGACUGUUGCAGGUGGACAUGUGCAUCAAAGGAUUCCAUCACAGUAAACCUUAGGACUUCUUCAGGGAGCCGGAGGGAGAGAUGUGACCACAUUCUCCUGCUACGUAUGACUGGAGUAGCAUUUGGAAUUUAGCAUGAAGAAUGUCAGUAUAUGAAUGCUCCCUCAGGGUACCCAGACUCCACUGUGACAAUGCAGAGAGUGCAGAGCAGCUAUGAGAUGGAGAAGGGCUCCUUCUCCACUUCUGCAGGAAAUGAUGACUGAUAAAGCAGAGGAGUCUGCUGUCAGGCUCCAAAGCCAAAUGAAACGUCCUGGGAAACCCAUCACUCCUCCUCCGUCUAAGAAAAUGCAGAGGAUGGCGCUGCUGUCACUGAAAGAGAAAGGAGAGGAAGCAUCCCACCCCAGAGGCUCAGCCAUGUCCUUGGAAGAUGGAACUGAUGACUGAUAAAGCAGAGGAGUCUGCUGUCGGGGCUCGAAGCCAAAUGAAACGUCCUGGAAAAUCCGUCGUUCCACCUCCAUUUAAGAGAAUACUGAGGAUGACGCUGCUGUCAGAGAAAAAGGGAAGCGAGGGAGCAUCCCACCCCAGGGGCUCAGCCAUGUCCUUGGAAGAUGAUGACCCCAGGGUGAGAGCAAUGUCUGUGUCAGAAGUUCUGCCAGAUAAACUGCCAAUGCCAAUGGAAAUCAAUAUUGAAAUCAAAGAGCAAUUAAAGAAGGAGAUUCAACAGUUUGGAGGACAUAAGUAGAAUAAGAAUUUCUCUCCAUGAAAGCAGAGGAAAUCUGCUUUCUCAUCCUAUGAUUUAGACUACAUUCAACUGACCUCUUGAGGCUCAACCUUUGCCAGAAAUGGGUUUUCACAAUUGGAAUGGUUCCUCUUUAUUUGGACUAAAGUGUCCCAGUAAACGUUUUGU
rnacentral:lncRNA from 1 species